CAGAAAUGAAAGAAAAAGCAGCAAAGGAGGAAGCAGAAGGGCAGGGCCAGACUGUGCAGGCGGGGGAAGUGCCUGGUGUUUGGGGCACAGGGGACCUGCAGGGUGCUCCACAAUCUGUGGUGGCUUUUCCAGCUCUUCCCACCAUCUGAGAGAAGCUCUGGAGCCACCCAGAUGGCAAAAUUCUCUUGUGACCUUCUGAAUGUGUCAUCACUUAGAAGAUUAGCAAGAAAAAAUACCAGUGGAGAACAAGGUGUUUCCUGAGCGUAAAACUCUUCUGUCCCAUGGGACCAGUGUUGAGAGAUCAUUUAUAUUUAGAAAAGCUCGUUGAUCUGCACUGUUCAGUUGAUUUCUACCUUUUUUUGUCAGAAAGAAAAGGUGAAAAGAGCAGUCUCAAAGGAUUUGACAGUUUGUGUGAUGAGCCUGCAGAAGCUUGGCUGAGUGGUUGGGGUGUGCCCAGCGGUGUCGGUGCUGUCCUGUGCUGUCACCAGGGUACAGAGCUGUGUCAUCUCACCCAGCCCAUGGCCUGGGGCUGUUCUGGGGGAUGUCUCUGCUGGGAUUUCACAGGCAAACACCCUGAUCCCGGCUGUUCCCUCCCAGCUACGCCAUCGCAGACAAUUCCUACCGCUCUCUGCGCACCGAGAGGAAGGAUCAGUGCAUCCUCAUCUCCGGCGAGAGCGGCGCCGGCAAAACCGAGGCCACCAAGAAGAUCCUGCAGUACUACGCUGUCACCUGCCCCGCCAGCCAGCAGGUCGAGACCGUCAAGGACCGGCUGCUGCAGUCCAACCCCGUCCUGGAGGCCUUUGGAAAUGCAAAAACCCUUCGGAAUGACAACUCCAGUCGGUUUGGGAAGUACAUGGACGUGCAGUUUGAUUACAGGGUAACUUGGAAUCUGGUUUCUGUUUCAGUUACAGGAGUUCUCUGUGCUCCUGUAUUGUGUGUGUAUUGUUCUUGUAUUGUGUGUGUGUGUAGUGAGUGCUUUUGCAGAGCCUGUGGUAGCAAAGUUUGGGUCCAGAGGGUUUUGUAGCUCUCACU
rnacentral:lncRNA from 1 species